rnacentral:tRNA from 1 species
GGAGUUGUGGCUCAGUGGUAGAGCGCUCAUCUCGUACAUGCGGAGCCCUGGGUUCGAUCUUCAGCGCCA